CGGCUCAGUAACACGUGGAUAACCUACCCUUGAGUUGGGAAUAAACCCGGGAAACUGGGUAUAAUACCCGAUAGAUCUCGACUGCUGGAAUGCAUCGAGAUCCAAAGCUCCGGCGCUCAAGGAUGGAUCUGCGGCCUAUCAGGUAGUAGUGGGUGUAGCGUACCUACUAGCCUACGACGGGUACGGGUUGUGAGAGCAAGAGCCCGGAGAUGGAUUCUGAGACACGAAUCCAGGCCCUACGGGGUGCAGCAGGCGCGAAAACUUUACAAUGCUGGAAACAGCGAUAAGGGGACCUCGAGUGCCAGGUUACAAAUCUGGCUGUCGUGAUGCCUAAAAAGCAUUGCAUAGCAAGGGCCGGGCAAGACCGGUGCCAGCCGCCGCGGUAACACCGGCGGCUCGAGUGGUAACCGUUAUUAUUGGGUCUAAAGGGUCUGUAGCCGGCCGGAUAAGUCUCUUGGGAAAUCUGGCAGCUUAACUGUCAGGCUUUCAGGAGAUACUGUCUGGCUCGAGGCCGGGAGAGGUGAGAGGUACUUCAGGGGUAGGGGUGAAAUCUUGUAAUCCUUGAAGGACCACCAGUGGCGAA
rnacentral:rRNA from 1 species